rnacentral:rRNA from 1 species
AUUGAACGCUGGCGGCAUGCUUUACACAUGCAAGUCGGACGAGUGGCGAACGGGUGAGUAACGCAUCGGAACGUACCGAGCAAAGGGGGAUAACUGUCCGAAAGGACAGCUAAUACCGCAUAUUAUUCGAGCGGCCGAUGGGUGAUUAGCUGGUUGGCGGGGUAAAGGCCCACCAAGGCGACGAUCAGUAGCGGGUCUGAGAGGUUGAUCCGCCACACUGGGACUGAGACACGGCCCAGACUCCUACGGGAGGAAGCAGUGGGGAAUUUUGGACAAUGGGCGCAAGCCUGAUCCAGCCAUGCCGCGUGACUGAAGAAGGCCUUCGGUUUGUAAAGGUCUUUUGUCAGAGAAGCGGUACCUGAAGAAUAAGCACCGGCUAACUACGUGCCAGCAGCCGCUGUAAUUC